AUUGAACGCUGGCGGCAGGCCUAACACAUGCAAGUCGAGCGAUCGGCGGACGGGUGAGUAAUGUCUGGGAAACUGCCUGAUGGAGGGGGAUAACGACUGGAAAAGGUAGCUAAUACCGCAUACCAUCAGAUGUGCCCAGAUGGGGUUAGCUAGUAGGUGGGGUAACGGCUCACCUAGGCGACGAUCCCUAGCUGGUCUGAGAGGAUGACCAGCCACACGGGAACUGAGACACGGUCCAGACUCCUACGGGAGGCAGCAGUGGGGAAUAUUGCACAAUGGGCGCAAGCCUGAUGCAGCCAUGCCGCGUGUGUGAAGAAGGCCUUCGGGUUGUAAAGCACUUUCAGCGGGGAGGCGUUACCCGCAGAAGAAGCACCGGCUAACUCCGUGCCAGCAGCCGCGGUAAUUC
rnacentral:rRNA from 1 species